rnacentral:rRNA from 1 species
GAUGAACGCUAGCGGCAGGCCUAACACAUGCAAGUCGAGGGGUAGCAGGAUUAAGCUUGCUUAAUUGCUGACGACCGGCGCACGGGUGCGUAACGCGUAUGCAACCUACCUUAUACUGGGGUAUAGCCCGGAGAAAUUCGGAUUAAUCCCCCAUAGUACUAAUGAAUCGCAUGGUUUAUUAGUUAAAGCAUUGCGGUAUAAGAUGGGCAUGCGUCCUAUUAGCUAGAUGGUGAGGUAACGGCUCACCAUGGCUACGAUAGGUAGGGGGCCUGAGAGGGUGGUCCCCCACACUGGUACUGAGACACGGACCAGACUCCUACGGGAGGCAGCAGUGAGGAAUAUUGGUCAAUGGGCGCAAGCCUGAACCAGCCAUGCCGCGUGCAGGAAGAAUGCCCUAUGGGUUGUAAACUACUUUUAUACGGGAAGAAACACUCCUACGUGUAGGAACUUGACGGUACCGUAAGAAUAAGGAUCGGCUAACUCCGUGCCAGCCGCCGCGGUAA